ACCCAGGAGUUCCGGAAUGCGGAGGGCCGGGGCUGAAGGGCGCAGCGAGGCCUCACAAGGUCGCGGGAGACCUGUUUGCCACCCCCUCGGGGCAGAACCAGAGGGAGUGCGUUAGGAGGGUGCGCCGUCUGGGCGCCAUCACUUCCUGGUUGGGGAUCCCGUCCAGUUGGUUAACGUCCUUCAACCUGUUUUCCUGGUGGCACACUGGACUGAGACGACAUCCACCCCAAGGCGCUUUUGUGACGAUUAAUUGACAUAAUGUACACGAGGUUCUUGGCACAGAUGACACGGAAUAGGAGAUAGGGUGUUUAUGGGGUUUAGUUUUCGUUUGUGAAUGAUUAUUUAAACUGCUCCCUGAGAGAGGUUUUGCUUAGCGUUUAUAGGAGCAGCGAGGCGAUUGCAUGAAGGAGUCUGUCUCCAGUGAGGAGAGCUGGACUCCGCUGGCACUGGGAACGGUGGGGCCUGCCCAGGAGGCGGGAGGAUGGGAAGAGGGUCUCUUCCUAGCCACGGAGCAGGUGGGGCAUGGGCAGGUGCAGGAAGGAUGGGGCCAGGUAGGAGAAGGGACAGACAGGUCUGCAAAGCUUAGGCUGUCAGAGGAGCCGGCGCUGGGAGCAUGCCCCUCCCAGUCCCCACGCCCUCCCAGUCCUUUUACAGAGGAGGAAACUGAGGCCCCAGGAGGGGAAGUGACAGAGGUCAGACCAGAUCUUCCCGGGAUACAGUCAGUGCCUGGCUCAGAGGAGGUGCUCAGCUGAAGCCACAUUCAGAGAUCAGAGAGACUCGUUCGCAGAAUGCGGAUCUCAGCAAGGGACAGCCCUCCCUCCCAAGACUUCCAGGACUGGCCCAGACGACUUCUAAUCCGACGGAGGUGUCACACAUUAUGGGCACAACUACGAAGACCUGGUUUUCUGAGAGGCACGCUCAAAGACUGGACGGUUAACGUGUCUUGACCUGUGCCAGGCGCGUGAUUUAAUCUCCCUUAGUCCUGGCCAGAACCUUGGGAGGUUUGAGCCUAGGAUUGUUUGAGGUGUGGAAGAGCCUGGGCUUCUGACCCCCCGUGACGUGACUUCUUGAAGGCAAACGUGGACCCAGCACUCACAAGCACAGACCCAGCUGUGGACCCAGGCAGCGCCCUGAAGACGUGACAAAUGCAUCAAAGACACAGAGACACAUACCCGGCAGACGUCAGACACAGGGAACGCCACACACACACACACACACACACACACACACUCGCACACACACGUAGUCCUUAACACACACACACACUCUCUCUCUCUCUCUCUCAUGUGUACAAAUCCCAGCUCGGUGGAGCUAAGGGUCACACAGAGGAAUGUCCUAUGAUCUAUGUGUGUUUAUAAGGCCGUGACCGUACCGCCUGAUGAGCCAUAUUUUCCCACCCUCCAAAAAGGGAAACUUCUCUCUGCCGACUUGCUGGAGAGGCUCAGGCAAAGAGACAAGACAGAGCUAGAGCCAAAACGCCCCUUCGCCCCAGCUCGCACCGAAACGAGAGGCUUCCACGCCGGCACCCAGGUGCACACCCGCAAAACCGGAGUCAUCUCCCGCACCCACACACAUGCCUACUGGACCCUCUCCCUCCUUCCUCCCCAGCCAGGCACCCCGCCCUCAUGAGGGACUCCUGCACUAGCCUGUGUGUGUGUGUGUGUGUGUGUGUGUCUGUUCUCUGAACCUUCCUCUUGUCCUGGCUGAGCCCACACUCCUUUGCCAGCUCUCAAACCCUAUGCCAAAGGUGUAGACAGCUGUUCAAGAACAGAGGGGCCCCAGUGCCACUGCUGGCCUCAGCAUGACCUGGCCCUGACUCCCAGGGAGGCCCUGCCAUUUCUAUACCCAGGAUUAGCGCCAGCUGCCACCCACUCCCGAAUGCCAAGGAUGGAUCCCUUUGAGCUGGAAUCCCCUCGCCCGCCCUCCCUGGCUCCCCAGUCCGGGAGUGCUGGUUGCCUGGGCUCCUCCCCCUCCCCAGAGGCUCCCCGACUCCCUCUCCCCCUCGCCCAGCCAGCUGAUGGCGAAGACAUCCCUGUGGAGGGUAGCCCAGAGCUGAGGCAGCCCCCGCAAUGUGUCGCUUGUUCCCCAGCCCAGCAGCCUGGGGGUGGGGGAGUGGGGAGCGGAUCAAGGGCAGAAGAAGGCAGCGGUUUGCUAGACAGAGAUUUGUGGGCUGCGUCUUCUAGAUGAGCCUCAGGGGACAGGAGGUGGUGAGCGCCAGGUGGCUGCCUCUGAGUCAUUGAGGUUGAGCAAGGGACAGAUUUGGAGAACAGGUCAUUGAUGAGUUUGUGCACACCCAGCUCUGAGCGAGAUGGGGAGGAGGCAGCAGUUGUUGCUAGUACUUCCCGUGCACCUGCUUUGUGCGGGGCUCCCCGCUAAGCACCCUGCGCUCACUCAGUCCUCCGGUCAGUCCUCCCAGCACCCCGCAGGGCGAGCGCUCUCGUGGCCUGUUUUGCAGAUGGGAGAGGAGGCCCCGAGAGGUUAUGUAAGUGACCCAAGGUCACCUAGCUACAUGGCAGCACUGAGAUUCAACUGUAAGCUUUUUGACUCUGGAACAUUCUUCUCUCUCCUGCUUCCCUAACCUGCACACUUAUUCAUAUUUCACACAAGCAUCAGUGCAUACGUAUUGUAUAGGCACGCCUCUACAACCUUUAGAAGUAGCUUUUCGGGGCACCUGGGGGGGCUGCGUCGGUUAAGCAUCCGACUUCAACUCAGGUCAUGAUCUAAUGGUUUGUGAGUUCGAGCCCCGCGUCGGGCUCUGUGCCGACAGC